UGGGGAAUAUUGGACAAUGGGCGCAAGCCUGAUCCAGCCAUGCCGCGUGAGUGAUGAAGGCCCUAGGGUUGUAAAGCUCUUUCACCGGUGAAGAUAAUGACGGUAACCGGAGAAGAAGCCCCGGCUAACUUCGUGCCAGCAGCCGCGGUAAUACGAAGGGGGCUAGCGUUGUUCGGAUGUACUGGGCGUAAAGCGCACGUAGGCGGACUUUUAAGUCAGGGGUGAAAUCCCGGGGCUCAACCCCGGAACUGCCUUUGAUACUGGAAGUCUUGAGUAUGGUAGAGGUGAGUGGAAUUCCGAGUGUAGAGGUGAAAUUCGUAGAUAUUCGGAGGAACAACAGUGGCGAAGGCGGCUCACUGGACCAUUACUGACGCUGAGGUGGGAAGGCGUGGGGAGCAAACAGG
rnacentral:rRNA from 1 species